AGCCUGUACUUCUCUAGCUGCCGCAUCUGCUUCUCUUACUGCCGCAUCUGCUUUAAGCUGCUGCUGGAGUUCUUCAUACUUUCGUUGAACCUCAGCUUCUCUCGCUGCUGCAUCUGCUUUCAGUUGUAGCUGGAGUUCUUCAUAUCUUUUUUGAACCUCAACUUCUCUCGAUGUUGCCUCCGCUUUAAGUUGUGUAAUUUGCUCAAUUG
rnacentral:lncRNA from 1 species